AGAAGACAAAAUAUAUUUGCACUGGUUUGUAGCACCAGGAUUGGGGUCGGGCCUCCUUGAUUA
rnacentral:tRNA from 1 species